GUUUCUGCGUGAGCCGUGAGGAGAUCUGUGUCUGUAGUUUGGACAUGCGCGUCGUGUCUGUGACUGUCUGUGGUUUAACUCGAACCUCUCUGCGC
rnacentral:lncRNA from 1 species